rnacentral:tRNA from 1 species
GCCCCCGUAGCUCAGUUGGAUUAGAGCGGCCGGCUUCUACCCGGCAGGUCCCAGGUUCGAGUCCUGGCGGGGGCGC